GGUACAUCAAGCAUCAAUUUCAUUCACAACUUUCUCAUGGAUGAGGCCAUUAAUGUCAUCCCAGGCAUCAACAAGUUAAAUCACAAUGUAAAACGAAGCUUCAAAUUUGUUUGCUUGAAUUUCUCCAUCCCCAAGGUACAUUAAGAAUCACCCGUACUUUAAUUACAUGUUUACGAAUUUAUUGAAUAAAUAUUAAGUACUUACACACACACACACACAAAUGGGGUUUAUGCUCAGUAUGUGAAUGAACAAGUAAAAAUAAUUGUAUUAUGCAUUUUCGGGUAAACUAACUGAUGAGAUUAGCAGCAACGUGUAGCAUAAACCGGUGGGAGAUGGAAGGACUACUGGUAUACUAGUCGGCAAAGAGUGCUCCGAUUGGGGAUGAGUGCUUCGGUCGGCCAAGGCACGGUGACGAGAGGGAGGCGACGAGAGGGAAGGAGGGUUUGGAACAUUAUCUCUUUCCUUUUGAUUUCCCGCUUCUGGUUUUGCCCCUCUUGUUUUCUUUCUUUAGUUUUUUCUUCUUCUUCUUCUUCUUCUUUUUUUUUUUUUUUUUAAUUGUGCAAUAACACGUAAACGAAAAUUCAAUUGCCUUUUUUCAUUCCUGGCUGACUAGCAUUAUUCUAUCUAUAUACCCCUUUAAAUUUGAAGUCAAAACAAGAAGAUGCGUUUUUUAAAAGCAGUCUUCUGGGCAAUCGCGCCAAACUCCAAUCGAUUAAUAAUGCCUCUCUAAUUUCCCAAACCUAAAAAAAAUUUCUGGUAAGAUUUUUUUCUUCUUCUUUCAGUAAUUCAAUAGUUCGAUUUAACUAUUAUUAUGCUUGCAUAGCAGAAUUAAUUCAAUUAUUCCUUCGAGCAUAUGAUGGUGAUAAAUAUGAUUUAAAAGUAGUGUAUGGGAUGUGAUGAAAUUUUAUGGUUUGCUCCUUUGCUUGGUUGGGUCUAUUGUUUAUAGAUAGUGUUAUAUCUGAUUGAUCUCUGGGCUCCGGCACACGGCUAUACUUCCGAUCGAGAAUAAGCACAUAACUGGGUAUCCGUUUCCCCUUAACUUGUAUGCCAUUUCAGUUGUUUCACAAUUAAUUUACGCAUCAUGCAGUCCUCGAAUCAUUGGUUCCUAAUGCGUGGUUGGUGCUACCAUUUCCCAAUCCCUGUUUUGGAGAAUCCAUACUGCCUAGGAAGACAUCAGGGCUAGAGGUGUGCUACUUCUCACUACAAGUAAUAAGCCUUUCACCUCAUGGCGGUGGGAUAUUCCACUGGCCACCACGUUACAUCACGAUACUGAAUUGGCUUCAGACUAACAAUUGCACCUGCAGGCUGCAGCCAUAUGCAUGCAAGGAGCAGGCCCAACACUAUAGCUGCAGUGGCAAAAGGGCUUACUGGCUCAACAGCUCCUCUGCUGUCAAAGGUAGAAUCUGCAGCAGGAGAUGCACAUUGUGUGCAUGCAGGAAGCCAUGUUUGAAGUCUUGAAGGUAGUUCAAGUAACCUGCACCGAAUAUAGAGUGGGGCAGGCACCAGAAUAUCUAAAGGUGUGGUUCUAUCUAGGAAAUAUGGGGGCAUAGAAUUCUCCUAGAGCUUGGACAUGUAUUCAGAGGCUAGAUAUACCACGUUCCAGUAUGUUCUUUAGUAUAUUCAAUACAUGAAAUUUAAUAUACAAUUGAGAGAGAUUCUGUAGGAUGGCAUCCAGUCUGUAGGGUGGUAUCCAGAUAUUCCUAUUUCUAUAUAAGUUUUUGGAAAGAUUCUAGAAAACUUCCCUCAAGCAUUGGAUAAAUGAAUUUCCACCAUCCAUUGAGGUGGAAGCUACAAAUGGCGAGCAAAGGCCCUAAUUUUCAAAACAAUGAAGGGACUGUUGUAAACAAGACGAAGGAGAAAGAGGCACAUUUCUUCCAAACUCUCUUGUGCACUUACUUUAGUUAAUUACUUGGUUUACCUUUUAGCUAUCUAGUUAGGCAAUGCA
rnacentral:lncRNA from 1 species